rnacentral:rRNA from 1 species
GAUGAACGCUGGCGGCGUGCUUAACACAUGCAAGUCGAGCGGGCAAUUUAUCUAGCACUGAUUACUUCAAAUGGAAAUCAUAAGUGUAAUCAUGAAUUUCUACCUUUAAUAAAGAAAAAGAAAUUCAUGUACGCAAAUAGUGAUAACACAUUUUAGUGGAGUGAUGAGUGCUGGAUAAAUUGCUAGCGGCGGACGGGUGCGUAACACGUGGGUAACCUGCCCCUAUCACUGGGAUAACACACUGAAAAGUGUGCUAAUACCAGAUAACAUAAGCUUUUGGCAUCAUUAGCUUAUCAAAGAAUUUCGGAUAGGGAUGGGCCCGCGUCUGAUUAGCUAGUUGGUGAGGUAACGGCUCACCAAGGCAACGAUCAGUAGCCGACCUGAGAGGGUGAUCGGCCACACUGGAACUGAGACACGGCCCAGACUCCUACGGGAGGCAGCAGUGGGGAAUAUUGCACAAUGGGC